UACGAAGGGGGCUAGCGUUGUUCGGAAUUACUGGGCGUAAAGGGCGCGUAGGCUGUGCUGUAAGUCAGGCGUGAAAGGCCCGGGCUCAACCUGGGAACUGCGCUUGAUACUGCGGCGCUUGAAGACGGGAGAGGAUGGCGGAAUUCCCAGUGUAGAGGUGAAAUCGUAGAUAUUGGGAAGAACACCGGUGGCGAAGGCGGCAGC
rnacentral:rRNA from 1 species